AACGAACGCUGGCGGCAUGCCUAACACAUGCAAGUCGAACGAGAUCUUCGGGUCUAGUGGCGCACGGGUGCGUAACGCGUGGGAAUCUGCCCUUUGGUUCGGAAUAACAGUUGGAAACGACUGCUAAUACCGGAUGAUGACGAAAGUCCAAAGAUUUAUCGCCAGAGGAUGAGCCCGCGUAGGAUUAGCUAGUUGGUGUGGUAAAGGCGCACCAAGGCGACGAUCCUUAGCUGGUCUGAGAGGAUGAUCAGCCACACUGGGACUGAGACACGGCCCAGACUCCUACGAGAGGCAGCAGUGGGGAAUAUUGGACAAUGGGCGAAAGCCUGAUCCAGCAAUGCCGCGUGAGUGAUGAAGGCCUUAGGGUUGUAAAGCCCUUUUACCCGGGAUGAUAAUGACAGUACCGGGAGAAUAAGCUCCGGCUAACUCCGUGCCAGCAGCCGCCGUAA
rnacentral:rRNA from 1 species